ACCUGAUGAUGUGGGCAUUGACAUAGUAAGUCCUUAAAAUGCUCCCAUGUCUCAAAGAAAAGCUCCCCAUCCAUCUGUGAAAAACUCGUAAUGGCUCUCCGAAU